AUUGAACGCUGGCGGCAUGCCUUACACAUGCAAGUCGAACGGCAGCACGGGGCAACCUGGUGGCGAGCGGCGAACGGGUGAGUAAUGCAUCGGAACGUACCUUUCAGUGGGGGAUAACGCAGCGAAAGUUACGCUAAUACCGCAUAUUCUGUGAGCAGGAAAGCAGGGGAUCGCAAGACCUUGCGCUGAUUGAGCGGCCGAUGUCAGAUUAGCUAGUUGGUGAGGUAAAGGCUCGCCAAGGCGACGAUCUGUAGCGGGUCUGAGAGGAUGAUCCGCCACACUGGAACUGAGACACGGUCCAGACUCCUACGGGAGGCAGCAGUGGGGAAUUUUGGACAAUGGGGGCAACCCUGAUCCAGCCAUGCCGCGUGAGUGAAGAAGGCCUUCGGGUUGUAAAGCUCUUUCGGCCGGGAAGAAAUCGCACGGGCUAAUACCCUGUGUGGAUGACGGUACCGGAAUAAGAAGCACCGGCUAACUACGUGCCAGCAGCCGCGGUAAGAC
rnacentral:rRNA from 1 species